rnacentral:sRNA from 1 species
CACCGAUUUGAAGAUUCAAUAUACUAAGAUCUUCAUAAACAAUGAAUGGCAUGAUUCAGUGAGUGGCAAGAAAUUUCCUGUCUUUAAUCCUGCAACUGAGGAGGAGCUCUGCCAGGUAGAAGAAGGAGAUAAGGAGGAUGUUGACAAGGCAGUGAAGGCCGCAAGACAGGCUUUUCAGAUUGGAUCUCCGUGGCGUACUAUGGAUGCUUCCGAGAGGGGACGACUAUUAUACAAGUUGGCUGAUUUAAUCGAAAGAGAUCGUCUGCUGCUGGCGACAAUGGAGUCAAUGAAUGGUGGAAAACUCUAUUCCAACGCAUAUCUGAAUGAUUUAGCAGGCUGCAUCAAAACAUUGCGCUACUGUGCAGGUUGGGCUGACAAGAUCCAGGGCCGUACAAUACCAAUUGAUGGAAAUUUUUUUACAUAUACAAGACAUGAACCUAUUGGUGUAUGUGGCCAAAUCAUUCCUUGGAAUUUCCCGUUGGUUAUGCUCAUUUGGAAGAUAGGGCCUGCACUGAGCUGUGGAAACACAGUGGUUGUCAAACCAGCAGAGCAAACUCCUCUCACUGCUCUCCACGUGGCAUCUUUAAUAAAAGAGGCAGGGUUUCCUCCUGGAGUAGUGAAUAUUGUUCCUGGUUACGGGCCUACAGCAGGGGCAGCCAUUUCUUCUCACAUGGAUAUAGACAAAGUAGCCUUCACAGGAUCAACAGAGGUAAUAUUAUUUACUCAGGGCAAAAGUUAAGAAUGUCUGCAUUGCCAGCUAUGAAGUAUGUUUUAUGUAACUAUUUUUGAGCCAACAAUUUUAAAACAAAAACUCUUUUUAAUGAUUUGUUAUUUAUUUUAGCCUUCAAACAUAUGGAUAGAAUAUAAGCAGAUGUAGUU